GUCUAUGGCCAUGCUACCCUGAACAAGCCUGAUCCCCUCUGAUCUUGGGAGCUAAGCAGGGUAGAGACUGGUUAGUACUUGGAUGGGAGACCACCUAGGAAGACUGGGUGCUGUAGGCG
rnacentral:rRNA from 1 species